CCUACGGGUGGCUGCAGUGGGGAAUAUUGGACAAUGGGGGCAACCCUGAUCCAGCCAUGCCGCGUGUGUGAAGAAGGCCCUCGGGUUGUAAAGCACUUUCAGUGAGGAAGAACGCCUGGUGGUUAAUACCCAUCAGGAAAGACAUCACUCACAGAAGAAGCACCGGCUAACUCCGUGCCAGCAGCCGCGGUAAUACGGAGGGUGCGAGCGUUAAUCGGAAUUACUGGGCGUAAAGCGCGCGUAGGUGGCCUGAUAAGCCGGUUGUGAAAGCCCCGGGCUCAACCUGGGAACGGCAUCCGGAACUGUCAAGCUAGAGUGCAGGAGAGGAAGGUAGAAUUCCCGGUGUAGCGGUGAAAUGCGUAGAGAUCGGGAGGAAUACCAGUGGCGAAGGCGGCCUUCUGGACUGACACUGACACUGAGGUGCGAAAGCGUGGGUAGCAAACAGGAUUAGAUACCCUAGUAGUC
rnacentral:rRNA from 1 species